UACAGGGGGUGCAAACGUUGCUCGGAAUUAUUGGGCGUAAAGCGCACGUAGGCGGUUCGUUAUGUCAGAUGUGAAAGCCCUUGGCUCAACUGAGGAAGUGCAUCUGAAACUGGCGAGCUAGAGUAUGUAAGAGGGUCGCGGAAUUCCUGGUGUAGCGGUGAAAUGCGCAGAUAUCAGGAGGAACACCGGUGGCGAAGGCGGGUCUCUGGGCAACAACUGACGCUGAGGAGCGAAAGCGUGGGGAGCGAACAGG
rnacentral:rRNA from 1 species